UAAUGAAGAGCAUCGUCCACCCAGCGUUCAACUCCUACAAGAUGGACAUCGAGGAACGCCGUGAUGUCUCCAGUGCAGCGCAGCAGGAGGCUGUUUGAGAUCCUGCUGUCCCACAGGAUCUGGGGUGACUCUUGGGCUCCAGGGUCUGAAAUCUUUGGAAGAAUUCGUUUGCAAGAUUGCAACAGCCAUGGAUCAGAACGACAUCUUGGAAGCUUUGGCCGCCAAAACAGGACACUCCAGGCCGGUGGCGGAAUGCUUUACACGGAAUGGACUCCUUGCCACAGGUUUUAAGUGACUGGGGGGCAACACGCUGCCUCCCGUGCAGUUCAUUCUCCUCUGUACGGUUCAUUCUCCUCGCUGGGGGCAGAGAUUAGCCAGGAAUGAAAUUAAGCUGAAAUGGAAUUUCGAGAAUGGUGCCAAGUUAGCAGUAAUAUAGUAAAACUACACUGAAAUUUGAGGCCUUGAAAUGUAAAUUAAAUGACAUUUCCAAAUGUGAGGGUCUGAUUUGGAGAUGUCACUGCAGUAGAAAUGUGCUCAGCGCGGGAGAGUGCCUAGCUGUGUGGCCUAGAGAAAAAUGAGCCUUCCUGCUUAGGCCUGAAGACUCUCAUAAGAAAACAAAAUCACUCUUAAUGCUCAGGGAAUCAAGUUCUGUCUCUUUAAAGCAAAUGUGGCAAGAGGUUACCAAUGAGUGUGUCUAGGGCUGUGUGUUCGGUGGGAUGGUGAUAUGGACAUUCAUUGUACUUGUCUCAACUUUUCCCAAUGUUCGAAAAAUUUCAUAAUAAAACAUGUUGGGAGAAAGGAAUAAACUAGAUC
rnacentral:lncRNA from 1 species